CCAAAUGGGCCAGUGCAAAUCCUACUUGGAUAACUGUGGUAAUUCCAGAGCUAAUACAUGCAACUGAUAUCCCGAAGGCGGUUUUUGUGCUUGCUUGUCUUGCGCUUUCACUGCUCUGACGGAUGCUUUUAUUAGACCAAGCCGCUGAGGACUUGAGGGUUCGCGCUCUCUUGUUUGACUCGUGUGAUGGUGACUCUGGAUAACCAAAUUCUGACAAGCGCACGUACUUCUCUUCUGAGCGAGACGGCGCUGCCACUUUCGAGUGUCUGCCUUAUCAGCUAUCAACCGUUCGUUAUGCGCGACCGAUGGCUUUGACGGGUAACGGGGAAUCAGGGUUCGAUUCCGGAGAGGCAGCCUGAGAGACGGCUACCACGUCCAAGGACGGCAGCAGGCACGCAAAUUACCCAAUCCCAGCAAAUGGGGGAGGUAGUGACGAAAUCUAACGAUGCGGGCGCCCUUUCUGGGGCCCCGCAAUCGGAAUGGGCACUUUCUAAACAACCUGUUGAGAACCUACUGAAGG
rnacentral:rRNA from 1 species